UACGUAGGUGGCAAGCGUUGUCCGGAUUUACUGGGCGUAACGAGCGCGCAGGCGGUCGUUCAAGUCGCGUGUGAAAGCCCCCGGCUCAACUGGGGAGGGUCACGCGAUACUGAUCGACUCGAAGGCAGGAGAGGGUAGUGGAAUUCCCGGUGUAGUGGUGAAAUGCGUAGAUAUCGGGAGGAACACCAGUGGCGAAGGCGACUACCUGGCCUGUACCUGACGCUGAGGCGCGACAGCGUGGGGAGCAAACAGG
rnacentral:rRNA from 1 species